AACGAUAGAGAAAGCUUGCUUUUUCUAGGCGUCGACCGGCGCACGGGUGAGUAACGCGUAUCCAACCUGCCCAUCACUUGGGGAUAACCUUGCGAAAGUAAGACUAAUACCCAAUGAUAUCUCUAGAAGACAUCUGAAAGAGAUUAAAGAUUUAUCGGUGAUGGAUGGGGAUGCGUCUGAUUAGCUUGUUGGCGGGGUAACGGCCCACCAAGGCGACGAUCAGUAGGGGUUCUGAGAGGAAGGUCCCCCACAUUGGAACUGAGACACGGUCCAAACUCCUACGGGAGGCAGCAGUGAGGAAUAUUGGUCUAUGGACGAGAGUCUGAACCAGCCAAGUAGCGUGCAGGAUGACGGCCCUAUGGGUUGUAAACUGCUUUUAUAAGGGAAUAAAGUGAGUCUCGUGAGACUUUUUGCAUGUACCUUAUGAAUAAGGACCGGCUAAUUCCGUGCCAGCAGCCGCGGUAAUACGGAAGGUCCGGGCGUUAUCCGGAUUUAUUGGGUUUAAAGGGAGCGUAGGCCGGAGAUUAAGCGUGUUGUGAAAUGUAGACGCUCAACGUCUGCACUGCAGCGCGAACUGGUUUCCUUGAGUACGCACAAAGUGGGCGGAAUUCGUGGUGUAGCGGUGAAAUGCUUAGAUAUCACGAAGAACUCCGAUUGCGAAGGCAGCUCACUGGAGCGCAACUGACGCUGAAGCUCGAAAGUGCGGGUAUCGAACAGGAUUAGAUACCCUGGUAGUCCGCACGGUAAACGAUGGAUGCCCGCUGUUGGUCUGAAUAGGUCAGCGGCCAAGCGAAAGCAUUAAGCAUCCCACCUGGGGAGUACGCCGGCAACGGUGAAACUCAAAGGAAUUGACG
rnacentral:rRNA from 1 species